CCUGUCCAGGGGCUUAGGGUUAGACUAGUGUCCUGUCCAGGGGCUUAGGGUUAGACUAGUGUCCUGUCCAGGGGGUUAGGGUUAGACUAGUGUCCUGUCCAGGAGGUUAGGUUUAGACUAGUGUCUUGUCCAGGGGGUUAGACUAGUGUCCUGUCCAGGAGGUUAGGGUUAGACUAGUGUCCUGUCCAGGGCUAAGGGUUAGACUAGUGUCCUGUCCAGGGGGUUAGGGUUAGAUUAGUGUCCUGUCCAAGGGUUUAGGGUUAGACUAGUGUCCUGUCCAGGGGGUUAGGGUUAGACUAGUGUCCUGUCCAAGGGGUUAGGGUUAGACUAGUGUCCUGUCCAGGGGGAUAGACUAGUGUCCUGUCCAGGGGUUAGGGUUAGACUAGUGUCCUGUCCAGGGGCUUAGGGUUAGACUAGUGUCCUGUCCAGGGCGUUAGGGUUAGACUAGUGUCCUGUCCAGGGGCUUAGGGUUAGACUAGUGUCCUGUCCAGGGGCUUAGGGUUAGACUAGUGUCCUGUCCAGGGGGUUAGGGUUAGACUAGUGUCCUGUCCAGGGGGUUAGGGUUAGACUAGUGUCCUGUCCAGGGGGUUAGGGUUAGAUUAGUGUCCUGUCCAGGGGUUAGG
ensembl:lncRNA